rnacentral:rRNA from 1 species
AUUGAACGCUGGCGGCAUGCUUUACACAUGCAAGUCGAACGGCAGCGCGGGCUUCGGCCUGGCGGCGAGUGGCGAACGGGUGAGUAAUACAUCGGAACGUGCCCAGUAGUGGGGGAUAGCUCGGCGAAAGCCGGAUUAAUACCGCAUACGACCUGAGGGUGAAAGCGGGGGAUCUUCGGACCUCGCGCUAUUGGAGCGGCCGAUGGCAGAUUAGCUAGUUGGUGGGGUAAAGGCCUACCAAGGCGACGAUCUGUAGCUGGUCUGAGUGGACGACCAGCCACACUGGGACUGAGACACGGCCCAGACUCCUACGGGAGGCAGCAGUGGGGAAUUUUGGACAAUGGGCGAAAGCCUGAUCCAGCAAUGCCGCGUGUGUGAUGAAGGCCUUCGGGUUGUAAAGCACUUUUGGCGGGAACGAAAAGGACUGUGCCAAUACCACGGUUCGAUGACGGUACCCGCAGAAUAAGCACCGGCUAACUACGUG